rnacentral:misc_RNA from 1 species
AAGUCGUAACAAGGUUUCCGUAGGUGAACCUGCGGAAGGAUCAUUAAUAACACCGAAAGCUUUUUUCCCUUCUCGGGGGGAAAGGUUUUCACCUUUAUUAAUUUCCCAACCCCAAACCUUUUGUCGAGCUUUGUGAACUUGUUUAUCGUGGCUGUGCGGGCUUUUGUUGAUGUGUUUGACUUUUCUUUAUUGAAAGGCCAAAGACUUGACACUGGCUGCGCCUUCUUCUUUCGUGGAAGAAAGCGUGCGGCUGUGAGGCUAGUGAUCGACAACACUAGGUCCUUACGCCAGCGCACGGCUGACCGCUCUUUUUUUUUAACUUUUAAACCCCUUUAACCAUAAUUCGUCUGAACUUUUUCGUCUUUUUCUCUGAAAAAUUCGAAAACCAAAAAUAUUAAACAUAAAACAACUCUUAGCAACGGAUAUCUUGGUUCUCGC